rnacentral:hammerhead_ribozyme from 1 species
UUUCAAGUGACGAGUCUCACAUAGGACGAAACGCACGUCUUGGAU